rnacentral:rRNA from 1 species
GACGAACGCUGGCGGCGUGCCUAAUACAUGCAAGUAGAACGCUGAAGAGAGGAGCUUACUCUUCUUGGAUGAGUUGCGAACGGGUGAGUAACGCGUAGGUAACCUGCCUUGUAGCGGGGGAAAACUAUUGGAAAGGGUCGCAAAUCCGGCAUAACAUUGGUUUACACAUUUCCUUUUUUUAAAAGGGGCAAUUGUUCCACUACAAGAUGGCCUUUCGUCGUAUUGGCUAGUAGGUGGGGUACUGGCUCACCUAGGCGACGAUACAGAGCCGACCGGAUAGGGUGAUCGGCCACACUGGGACUGAGACACGGCCCAGACGCCUACGGGAGGCAGCAGUAGGGAAUCUUCAGCAAUGGGGGCAACCCUGACCGAGCAACGCCGCGUGAGUGAAGAAGGUUUUCGGAUCGUAAAGCUCUGUUGUAAGUCAAGAACGGGUGUGAGAGUGGAAAGUUCACAGUGUGACGGUAGCUUACCAGAAAGGGACGGCUAACUACGUG